GUCCUCCCCGAGCUCCAAGGCGCCGCCUCCCGCAUCCUCCUGAGACCCAGUGCCUCCUCCAACCCACUGUCGCUACCAGUACCAGGUACUCCCUACAAGCCUUCUCCCGGUUUCCUCCUUCCGCGCACAGCCGUGGGGCUGCACACGGUCCCGAACGCUUGGCCCCGCCCCGACCUAGGUCUCCCCUUGGCUGGGUUGCGCACAUCGGGUGUGCGGCAGCAGCGAGGGGUGCGUGUGUGCCAACUCCGUUGUCGAGGCGGCGGAUGCCUCGGGGCAGAGGAUGGGUGCGGUGACGGGUUCGCGCGUUGAACCUCGUGCGAGAACCAGCGGACAUAGCGCGGCGUCAGAAUACGGUUGCGCGUUGUGCACCAACGGAAGAAAGGGUGGGCGCUGCACGCCGCCGAGGCCAUUCACGACGGGCAGUUCGUCUGCGAGUAUGCCGCCACAAUGAAUCCCUCCUUAGUUCUGAUUAAUGUUUUUCCAAAGUUGUCGAUGAAUGAAUUCUUGGUGGUAGGUGAUUUAUGAACUUAUACUGCAGUACGCAAAGUCAUGCUAUAUGUUUUCAUUUUUCAUUUUUUGUCAAACGAUGAUGCUUGCUUGGAUGCAGAUAAAGUUCACCUUCAGAUGUGCCUCACAACUGAUCCCCGGGGCCAGUAGUCUCAACAUGUUGCAUUAGUUGUGACUCUUGUAUUUGUUUCGGUUUACACUCAAUUGCGUCAAAGCUUCAAAGAAAAUCAACUGACUUGAUAAGAUUUUCCGGUCUCAGGAAACUCUGGGUUAAUCACAAGUGUGCUUUUGCUGACUGUAGAAACAAACACACCUGGUAGACAAAUAUAGCAACAAGUUAUUUUUUUUUCUUUUGAUAUCUAGCAACAAAUUGUUUCUAGCAACAAGUUGUUAGCACAAAUAAGAUCUCAUGGUUAAUCCAGAAAAAGUUUGAUUGGAUCCUACCCUGAAAGUCAGAUGCUUUCAGGUUCUUCACCGCAAUAAUAGGUGCAGCAUCAACCAUGUCCAGGGGCUCUUCAACAACAGUGUUGGCAAAAUCAUUCCAGCACGACUUGUUCCCGCAAUUAAAUCAGUUGUAAAUCAGAAUAUGUACCACAUUCUAAGCUAUCAAGACUUCAUACAAAUCAACAUUUUAGGCCAUCAACAAAUUAAUUUGCUGCUUACGAGUCAUCUGCCAACAACAAGGUAUGCUUUGGAGUUUGGAAUUGACACAUUGUCAAUCUUUCUUCUGAUACUCAAGAGAAGAUGAUACACUCUGAAUAGCACAAAUGAUAUAUACUGAUAAAAGGUGGAACACAGAGCAAAAUUAGUCAGAAUGCAUGCACUAAAGAAAAGGUACUGAGAUUUAUUGGUUUAAUCUGUAUGCUUUGUUCAUGUUUCCAUCAUUUUGUUGUUUAUCAUUAUUUUUCUAGAUCUGAAUGCACGAGCUAGCACCGGUUCCAUUUAUUAGUGAUCUGUUUCUGUCCCUUGAUUGAAACUGGACUUGAAUUUGCAUGUUCUAAGAAUGAUAUUGAUGCUAUAAAGAUGUUGCCUUUUUUGGUCUAAUGAAAAGCCAUCUCUUUGAAGCUAACCAACAGUACAAAAAUGAAGUGUUGUCAUGUUCAUGCAAACUAUGUUCAUGUACUUCUAAUAUUGAAAAACUGUUGACACAUUCAUGGAUUAUUUGUAUUUUUCUAAUGGUCUAGAAGUGUCUGGACUGUUGUAUCUGUACUUAGUUGCCAAAUAACUUCAUUGGCAUCUCUAUCAAUCCUAAAAUCGUAGUUUUCGGCAAAACCAAAAUGUGCCCUCUCCUUUUUGCUUUGUUAAGAUGGAUUGAUGUUCCUUGCUAUGUCUAUACACAUGCACUGGCUGCUACAAUUAGCUACCAAUUUUUGCUUACUCUAUGUCAGGCGUCAGCUAACUUCAACACAAAAGGGAGUUCAGAAUAAUAUCAAAUUGUGUCCUUUUGAAUGGACUAGAAUCUUUAUUCAAAUUUUGCAACUGGUCCAGUACAACAUUCAAAACCGGUGAGUUAGCCCUGGAAAAUGUUUCUAUUCUUUCAGGAAGAAGCUAAAUCUAUAGGGUAGCUCUGGAACAAAAGAUUCAUAAAUUUCUUGGUUGUUGCGAAGCUGGUGAAAGAUUGCUUGGUUGGUGCUAACUACAUGCCCAAUGACACAUUAUGGAAGCAUCUAUUCCAUUGUGAGUUGAUCUCUGGGUGUUGUAUCUACAUCUUCAUAAAGGAAGCUAUCAUGUAUUUUCUGUUUUAGUUCCACCAGAGUCAUGGUUGAGAAUAUUUUUUAGGCAAUUAUAAUUUUUCAUGAGUAGAAUUGGAGUUUGUACAUAUUCAUGUCCUCUGAAUGUAGAACAUGUGCAUAACAAAUUGUAAACUUGAUUGCAGCAAAUAAGACCCUGUUUGGUUCCAAAUAAGUCACCAACUUAUAAGCCGAAAAGUGAAAAAAGUGACUUAUUUUGCCAAACAGACCCAACUUAUAAGUCAUCCUAACUUAUAAGUCAUAAGUUGCUCCACCCCAACUUAAAACUUAUAAGUCACCCCUUUUGCAUGGG
rnacentral:lncRNA from 1 species